GUUGGGAUAGCUCAGUUGGUAGAGCACGAGAUUCUUAAUUCCAGCGUUGUGGGUUCGAGCCGCACACUGGGCA